UCGCAGGGCUAGCCUGAGGUUUACAGGGAGACAUUGGCAGGGUGCCCCCAUCUCUCUGGGUCCACCAGAUGCUACUCCUUGGCCUUGCAUGGAAGACAAAGACCUGUGCAGCUGUAUGGGGAAGGCUAAAGGCCAUUUCUUCUGCAGAGAUGGCUAUGCUGGAUGGGGAACAACCAUGCACAUGCUCCAAGAAUUGCAUAUGGAUGCCAUAACUUGGAGGAUAUGGCUGGAGGGUUUCAGACUCACAGCUCAUAAAAUAAAGUCAGCGUGGCAUGCAACUGAUAGAUGCUGAACGUGUACCCAGAGAUGGAAAACCUUUUAAUCUUAGAAGAUUUAAAUUAAUACAGAGAGCAGCAAAUGGAGGUGUCAUAUCUCAUCCUCAUGGGAGAAAAGUGAUGGCUGGAAGCAGGCUGUACUUGCCUCUCUGAGUUGGAUACAGCACUGCAGGUGGGGUCUUGCCAGAGCAGAGGGGCAGAAUCCCCUCCCUCAACCUACUGACCACACUGCUUUUGAUUCACCCCAAGAUACCAAUUGCUUUCUCCAGCUGCAAAAUUUGGAUACCAUUGGUCUAAGAUAAUAAACAAUAAUUACUAAUAACAAUAAAUAAUAAUAAUAAAUGAUAAUAUAAUCUGUGGGUUGAUGAAGAUCUGGAUGAGUUGAUCUGUGCUUCCCAUUCCCUGGUGUCUGCAGGCAGGCAGUUGUCCUUCUCCUCCAGUGCCCCGUGGCUGUGGGCUCACCAGCACGUCUCCCAGAUUCACCUCUUGCAGCAGCAUUUUUGCAAGCCAUAAGAUGUCAUUAGUCAAGGCUGUCAGGGAGGGAGGACAGAGGGGUCAUUAGACAUAAGGGAUUAUUUCUGGUCACCUGUCAGUUGGGUGUAACUCCUGGGUAAUUUAUAAGCUUCAUAACCCACCUGCCACCAGUAUUUUA